CAGGAGCUAAAGACAAUCUGGUAGUUCAAGUUCAUAAUUUGUUGUCGAGAUUAAUAGUGCUUAGUGUACUCUUUGACCGUACAUAGGUGACAGAAAUCCAAAUGACAGGUGACACUUCAUCUUUUGGUGAAUCGCCUAUAAAGAUUGUCAGGUUUGUGCUAAACCGAACUACUUAGUUUGGUAUUUGGCCGAGAAGUUGAGGGUUCUGUCUAGGUCUUUCUUAAUAGAGGGUUGUCCAAGUUAAAUACUUCCUUAGACCAUGAAAUAAUAUAUUUUCACCAGAGGGAAGAACUUAGAGCCCGUUUGGUAGGAUUAAAAUAUGAUUUUAAUCUAAGUCAAACAAUCAAUAUUAAUCACAUUUUUCAUGGGUCCCACAAACUUUUCAACCACACAUUUCAAAAAUUUCUAUCACAAUCUAUAAAAAAAAAUCUAAUUUUAAUCCCUACCAAACACCCUCGUAAUAUCAUAACAGAGGGAGGAUAACUCGUGUGCUUACCAUUCAACUGAACACAAAAUUAACCAAGCAGCAGGACCAAUGUGUUAGUCGGAAAAUUGGUAUUCAUGGAAAGGGAUAUUAAUUAACCAGUUUGAGUGUAAAGCGAGAUGUUGUGUCUAGUUUAUUGAGUAGUAGGUUUGGAGAACGAUCUGAAGUAUUUUAACCCAAUAAAAUCACCUUUUAACUGCAUCCAAGCAUGCUCUUCUUCACCUCUCUCUCAGAUUAUCUUCAACCUAUUAUAUCUUCCCCAUUCGCACCCAUAAGAUCAAUCUUUUUAAUCUACUACCUUCGCAGCUCUCUCAGAUUAUCUUCAACCUAUGAUAUCUUCCCCAUUCGCACCCAUAAGAUCAAUCUUUUUAAUCUACUACGUUCGCAGCAUGAUUUUUG
rnacentral:lncRNA from 1 species